UGUGUGUGUGUGUGUGUGUCUGUUUGUCAAUCAGACUGUCCUCAAGUGCAGUGUGUCAGUCAGUAUGUGGCAAAACAGGCAGAUGAGCUUAGCUUGGAGCCAUCUGAUGUCAUCAAUGUGCUGCGCAAAACCAGUGAAGGUUGGUAUGAAGGCAUGCGUCUCUCUGAUGGAGAGAAGGGAUGGUUUCCAGCAGAGAAUACAUUAGAAGUAACUACUGAUCACCAGAGACGGCGGAACGUGAGGGAGAAGUACCAAAUCACACAAGCAACCAGUCAAAACACUCCAAGUUGACUCCUAUAUACUCACUGCCCAUCUCAUUUGCCCUCACUCCCCAAUAGCUUCCACUUCCACACACACACACACACACGAAGCAGGGGCUAAUUAGUAACCCCCUUGCUAUCAUUAUCUUUAGAAUAUGAAGAACAUCAAGAAGUUUUUAAAAAUGUUCAAAAGGAAGCCUGGAUUGUGAAAAAAAGACAUUUUAUUGGACAGAUCUGCUGUUGUCAUGAGGUGACUAACAGGACGAGCCCCUUCCAUUGUGCUGUCAGGCUCCACCUUCAGCUCCAUAGAAACAGUGCAAGCAGGUUUUAUUGCUACAUUUAUAAUAAACCAAAAAAAAAA